CUCUUCUUUAAUAUUUUUGAAGUAUGACCUGCCCAAUGAUAAAUUUUAAUGGCCGCAGUAUUUUGACUGUGCAAAGGUAGCAUAAUCAUUAGUCUUUUAAUUGAAGGCUGGAAUGAAUGGUUGGACGAAAUAAUAACUGUCUUAAUUUUAUUAAUUUAAAAUUUAAUUUUUAGGUUAAAAAGCUUAAAUAAAUUUUUGGGACGAGAAGACCCUAUAGAGUUUAAUAUUUAUUAAUAUUUAUUUUGUUAGUAAUAUGAAAAAUUUUAUGAAAUAUUUUGUUGGGGUGAUGGAAAGAUAAAAAUAACUCUUUUUAUUAAUUAAUUAUAAAUUUAUAUAAAUAUGAUCCAUAUUUAAUGAUUAUAAGACUAAAUUACCUUAGGGAUAACAGCGUAAUUUUAUUUAAGAGUUCAUAUUGACAAUAAAGAUUGCGA
rnacentral:rRNA from 1 species